UCAGACAUACAUGCCAGCAUGUAAUAUUUCUUUGAUAUGUAUUCUAAACUAUUAGUUGACUGCAUCCUGCUUUCCAUAAAUCAGAAUCCAGUUUGGUAAAGAGAAAGAGCAAACCUAUGAUAAGUUCUAUAAAAGCUAAUAUUGUGUGGUGAACUGGGAAGAUACAAGAACAGCUCAGCCUGAGCCUGAAUAAACAAAUUAGAUUGCUUUCCCUAUAUCGAAGAACACACAACAAAUGUGUUAAAGCCCUUCCUUCUUCAUUCCCAUCUAGAAAAAUUGACGUGUUUUGUAUGAUGUUUAAUACAGAUGUCCUGUGAAUAUGUUUCUGAAAGCAAGAACAGAUUUUUUCUUAACUGGAAAAUGCUGCCUCCUCUGUAACUAGUCAAUGGUUAUAUUUUGUUUCAGAGCAGUUGGAGAAGUGACGAAUGCAAAUAACUCUUCAGAGCGAUUGUUUAGAAUUUAAUUUCUUCAGGAAAUAAUUGUACUUGAGGCACUAAGGGUGGAUUCUUCUCAGCUAAAUUUAACUAAACGUGGGUUAAGCUUCUAGACUGAGGUAGUCUUCUGUGUUUCUACUCUAUAUCAUGGAGAGAUGUGGGUGAUUUAGUGUUCUUACUUUAGACAUCACACCUAAGGAGAAUGAAUUGCUUCCUAUAGGAUCUCUGUUCACUGUGGAAAGAGUCUACACGUUUGCCCUAAGUUAGAUAUUCAAUUUUAAUGUAACUACAGCUGGGUAAAAUGAGCCAUAUGCUGCAGGAGGUGCUUUCCAAAGAAAAGUCAUUGUUUGUGUUACAUUAUUCUUUAAGAGCAACCCCAAAAUUGCCCUAAAGAUUAAACUCACCAAUUGCCAUAUAAUGUGCAUGCAGGAAUAACUUGCAACAUGUUUUAAGUGUAUCAUCAAAACCUCUGUGGCUAUGCUGAUCUUGGGAGUCAAAGUGAUCAGACAUGUUUGGGCAGGCUGUCCAGCAGGCAACAUAGCAAAGAGAAUGUUUACCAGACAUAAAGCACACUGUGUAAAUUGGGCUUUUAAUUGUGGUGGAAACAUAGCCACUAUCAGCUGACUGGUAGAAGGAGUGAUGAGAAGCAGUCUUGCAUUUCAAGAGGAACAGAAGUAAAAUUCUGGGUUCUUGUGUGCUCUGAAACAUUUCCAAAACCAAGCUCGCACUUCUGCUCAGUACUCAUAAGCAUAUGGUAAUUUUUACAGUAUCACAUUCAGAGUUCCCACUUGGUAUGAUAUGAAAGAGAAGAAUUCAGUAUUUGAUAUUGCUGCCUCAUUAUAAUAGCCUGACUUCAAUAGCCCUCUGUUCAAAGAACUGGAACAGAAUAGUGUGAGAAACUACUUAGGAAUACAUCAGUCAGCAAUAUGCAGAAAAUAAAUUGAACAGCUCCUCAUGCUAUAUGCCUUCCAAUAUUUAAACAUGUAAAAAGAAAUUCCUAAAGGGAAAGACCACUAAUGGAAGAAGCUAUUCAUCUUGAAUGUACCAGAUCACUUCUUUCAAAAGGAUGUUAGAAAGAUGGUUUAGACACUGAAGCAGUAUUUGGCUUGUUGUUGGGUGGUUAAGCUUAAAAAGCUCAUAUGCUGCAAUGGCAUACUUAAAGUAAGUAAGAAUUUUUAACAGUUGAAAGCAAAAGGCACCUGUGCUUCUAAGAUUUUGGUCUAAUGGUCAGGCAUUAAAGGAUGCAGCACUUUGGUUGACAACUGAAGCAAUGAGCUGUGGUGGUUUGGGAGGAAGGGAGCAGAAGACAAAAACAAAAAAAGCCAAGAGUACAGUUUAUCAUUGCUACACGGAUCACAGCUUCUGUGUCCAACAAGUGGGAUCAAUUUUUCUAACCAGUUGUAUCUGUGAGUUGGAUGGUUUUGACUCUGGUUGUGUUUCUUCCUCUGACUGUGAGGAUUUGUUACCUCUUCAUGUAAGUAAGCAGUAAUUUUUUGGGAAAAGGCAUCUUUUGGAUAUGCCUAUAUUAAUAUGUAUAUAAUAGCCACCAUGGGAUAUUCUGGUCCAUGACACUAAAUCAAUUACAACAGUAGAGCUACAUUAGUUGUUGAUGACGAUGAUGGCAACGGGACCAUGAGAAAGUCAAGGAAAUCAGCAAGACCCCAAAAGCCUAAAUGAAGUUAUAAGACCAUAAGCAGAUGCUGUUAGCAAAAGGAAAUGUCAUGAUGGACAAGGUAAAAUUCUACUUUAUAAACUGGUUGACAUUCACAUUUUCCUCUACUCUGACCAGUACUACUCACUAGACCAGCAUCUGAAUCCUUCAAGAAUCUGAAACCUUGUCAUUUAGGAGUGUUAUUUAAGUGAGUUUGUCUCUUCAAACAUGCUUUUCAUUUGUUUUCCGGCAGAUGCAUAUCUCUUGCCAACUGGUACAGGUGUUUCUCUGGCUGGUUUCUGCUGUUAGCUGUGCUCUUGUCACUGUCACAUGUCUCCAGAUAUAUAACAGCUUUUUUUCUUCACAACCUUUUUCUAGAAAGAUGCAGAAACUUUAUUAAGAAGCAAACAGUUUUUUAAUUCUAAAUUUUUAUAACUUCACAGGAAAGUGAGAAACGAAGUGGGAGGAAAUACACUGAAAAAAAAGGAAGUUAUCACACAUUUAAAUAUGCAUUUCAACUAUAGCUAGUGUCUAAAUAUAUGAACACUGAUUACACAGCUCCUCGUGCACUUAGGAUGCUCCCAGGCAGCGCAUGAAACCACUUUAAAGGCUAAAGGGUAUGUGCAGAGCUUUCAGCUCUUGCAAGCUUAUCACAAAAUAGAUGUAACUGUAAACCAUACGCUCUUGUGAAUUAGCAACACCACAAAGGUUUGUUCUUCCUUAUAUUUCAGCAGAAGCUAUAACCACAAGUGCUAACUGUCUACACACAAUACAGGAAUUACUUUGUAAAGGGGGAGAUGAGGUGAAGUAUCACAAGAAGUCUUUUACAAAAGCACCUAUGAUAUUUCUGCUUUUUGGGGCUGCCAGGUAACAAACAUGAUUUGUAGUGUAAUAUUGUGCUCUCGACCACAGCAAGCCCUGGCAGACCAGUAUUCUUGAAGGCAUGACCUGGGAUUUUUAAAAUGCUUGCAUUUCGUGUCCUGUCGGCUGAUGCUCGGCUCUCCCGGGUUCUCCCUUUGCCCUCAAGUGUGUUUUAUAAAGUCUUUGCAUCGCUUUUCUGCCAGUUGUAGGGUUUACGCUGUCCUGGCGGCUGAUACGCAGCUCCAGCUGCUGGUGGAAAAUCAGUACGACAGACUCGAGAGAAAGCGCGUUUCCUCCACCUCAGAGAAGAACGCCUCUGAGACUGGUCCUACCCUAGCAAAUCAGAAACUUAAUAUGUGUUUAUCUACUUCACUAAUGAGUGUUUAAAAUUAAUUUAAGUAUGGUUUUGAUAGGUACAAUCUGGAAAAAUAAUUUGUAGAAAUGUUUUCUUAGAAAUUUACAUUAGCUAUGCUUGUUCAUAUGGUGUUUUGUCGUACAAGUGGACAUACUAAAUACUAAACUUUUUCCUUGAUGUAUCAUUCCAAUCCAUUUAGGAUUUCUGUUCCUGACAGAGCUAGCUUCUGCAUGUCAGAAAACAAAAUAAGGGUUUGUACACCCAGUUCAUGAUAUCCCUCAUUAAAAAACCCUCUGUCAGAGCCUAGGGAUACCAGCGUACAAUAAAAAUUGUUAAGAGUUUUCACCCAAGUGAGACCUCAUUUUAAAUUCUGUACAGCAAGGAUUUCAGCCAGAGAGGUGAGUGAAGUUCUUCAAAACAGAGGAGGCCUUGAUUUACCAAUGUAUGCAAGAAAUUUUGAAGAUAACCUUGAGAUUCCUACUAAAAAUGCCCUAGAAUUAGACCGCCAGAAGCCUGUGAAGCUAUUGCCCUACACUUAUAUCAAAAGGAUAACAGGUCAGCUUUCAUUUGAUUGAGAAAAAUCUGAAACCAAAAACCCACAUAGAAGUGCUUUUUCACAUUUUUGGUCACUUGAUGGCACUAAACUAACACUAUACAUAUUAAUCACAAAUAGCAUAAGAAUACAUCUGUGCCAGUGUAUUUUUUUUUUAAGGCUUGGCCUGAUGAAAGUGCUUUGUUUUGUUAAGGGCAGAUUUCAGACAUAAAAGAGAUAUAAAAAAACCCAAACAUGAAGCCAAGAAGCAGUUGUGAAAUCUGUGUGCUGUCUGUCUUGUUAAAGUUCACAACAUACUACAAAUACCACAGCAUAAUGGAAUACAUAGCAUUUCUGAGCAAAACAAAACAUAACACACCAAAGACCAAACCAAGCCUUUCAGUAGCAAAUCUCAGAGAGGUAUCUGCAAACUUUGGAAAGUGUCAUUUCCACCAAAAUGUGUGGCCACCAGGAGGCCGCCUACAUGAGGCAGAGCAAGUAGACAGCCUGGCCUUUCCUGUGUCUCUUUAUUUAGAGGGAAAUUGCUAGUAUUUCGAGGCUGAAUGUUGGGUUCAUUUUGUGAAUGCAGAGGUGAAGCAGGGGGAGCUUUGCUUGGAUGGUCUUAGUCAUGUAAUAGGAGCCUCCUGGUGUGAUACAUGGCUGAAGAAAGGACUGCAGUCCACUGUGUCUCCCCAUAAAGGCACCCUCUCAUGAGCUGUCCAUCAAAUAUCUGUAUUAUAUUUAUUUGCAGUUAGAAGUCAGAGAACUGAGAAAUCCUCAGCUAAAUGGAGCCUUUUCCACAACUUUUCAGGAUGUGAUUCGAGUACUAAAGGAACAUUUUUAUUUAUUUGUCAGAAGUUUCAAGCUUUCAAAAAAUUUUCCCCUCCUGAAAAAGGAGGAAAACAAAGAUUUUUGGAAAUUUUCACCAAUCAGCAAUCAAAAUGCUUUUGUUGGAUCAAAGAAUGUAUUUUAUUCCAAUGAUGCCUUUUCUCUGAAUGUUUUUAGCUUCUUUUUUCAACAGGAAGUUACUUAGACUUCAAAACCCCCAAAAGUUUUGAAAGAUUUUUCACACCUUCCAAAGGCAACCACAAAGGAUAUUUCAGCAAGUUGAAAGGGCUGGGAGGGGGUUUUCUUUUUGAAACAAGGGAUAACAUUCAAGCCUUUCCCAUAAAUAGGUUUUAAUGAAUCAGUCCACACAACAGUCUGUGGCACAAAAUGCCCAGACAGCUCUAGAAAUGAUGCUGCAGGUUGCAGCUGCUCUCCCCCUUCCUCACAGCACUCCUGAAAGAGCUGUGGUGACUGACGGAGUAGUGCUUGCACAGAGGGACUUUCAUAGAAGUGAGUAUGGGAAACCCCAUGACAUCACAUGCACCUGUCCUAUCUUAUGGAGAAGGAAACAUGGUCAUUGUAUGUUAAGGCACUUCUGUUAAUUUUUACACUUUUAAGCCUUUUUUUUUCUUUUUUUUUUUUUAAUCAUAGAAUCAUUUAGUUUGGAAAAGACCUUUAAGAUCGAGUCCAGCUAACCUAACCCUGCCAUGGCCACCACUAAACCAUGUCCCUAACUACCACAUUUAUACAUCUUUUAAUUGCCUCUGGGGAUGGGGACUCCACCACAUUCCUGGGCAGCCUGUCAAUGAUUGACACCCCUUUUGGUGAAGGGAUGUUUCCUAAUAUCCAAUCUAAACCUCCUCUGGUGCAACUUGAGGCUAUUUCCUCUCGUUCUAUGACCUGUUACUUGGCAGAAGAGACCAACACCUACCUUGCUACAACCUCCUUUCGGGUAGUUGUAAAGUGCAAUAAGGUCUCCCUUGAGCCUCACGUCAUUUUCUAACUGCUGCAGAAGGUCAUGAUGGACUUCACUUUCCCAUAUUCUCAUAAUUUCCUAUCUCCGAUGAUUCUGCAACUUCUGCGAAGUAUGGUGCUUUCUGGGAGUCUUGUGGACUUUGCAAUGGCUUCAAUUAAAUGGAAGAAUUGCAACUUGCCAGCCAGUGAAUCCAUUGUCAAAAUUUUGGUUGGACUUGUCACCUUGUGCAUCCUUAACCAUGCUAAGCUGGAGAAAAGUGAUUGGCCAAAGCAUUGCAGUGACUUCCACAGUACACAAAGCCAAUUUCUGCCCCCCUUUCUACUAAUGGCUUUCCACAGGAGCUGCUCUGCCUACUGAGGGAUCCCCUCCUCUGCAGCCCCACCUACCAGCCUUAUUGAAGGCUAUGGGGUCUCAGAAGAGACCAUGCCUGAGGGUAGAUGGGCACAAAGGCUCUCUAAAGAAUAUAUCCCUGGAAAUGUUAUACAGCCUGAGGAAAAUGUUUACAAUUUGGAAGGGAUUCAGGAAACAGUCAUGACAGAUACAACAGGACAAGCAAACAUACCUUGGAGAGGAAGAGAGAGAAUGCAGAGGCCCUGUUUAGCUCAACAAGAAGCAGGUAGGAGGAUGCUUUUGCUCACAGUCUACAGCUGACUGCAGGGGGGAGAUUGGCCAGAAUAGGGGGUUCUUUAGUCUGGAUGUGAACAUGUAAAAACAUCCAGCAUUGAGGAUACGUACAUUCCAUAGUAGUUAAACACUUGAAUUGCUUACUGAAAUCUGUGGUGAAGUCAUCUGGAAAUAUCUCAGUUAAGAUCGCAUGUUCUUUAAAGUGUUUUUCAUUACAGGCAGGAGCCAACACAGUGAAGUCCUUAAGGGCAAUAUCUAGAUGCUGAUCUCUGAGUCAAAUCCUCCCCACAACAUUUUUCCUUCCAGUCCAGCAUAUUUAUUUCACUGUCUGGCAGGAGAUGAAAAGCCACCAUUUUUGUACCUUCUGAACACAGACAGCCUCUCAGAGCCAGGAGCUGUUAGAUUUGCUUGGGAUAAGCAAUUAGUUCUGGAGUGUACUCUCCUAUGCCAUCUGCUCAUGGCUCAGCACUUAGGACUGUGCCUGCACCUGCAUCAGAGUGUAAAUUGGGUAGGUUUGUACAAUAGAGGCAGGAAAACAAGUUAAGUGUUCACAGUGGUAUCUUCUCUUUACAGAAUCUUUGAGUCCAGUUAAACAAGACUGCGUGACUUUACUUAGUAUUGCUCUUCAGCAGGACUGUAGAUGGCACGCUAAGGUCUAUUGAGUUAGUAGCACCAGAGGCAGCCUUAUUCAGACAGCCUAAGAGCAGAACAACCUCACACACAACAAAAUACUUACUUCAUAUUUAUCAGCAUGCUCUCCGGAUGCACCAGUGGGCCUUAGAUGCCCUUACCAGACUUAGUGCCCUGACAACAUUUUUCCUAAUAACUUUUCCUUAACCAUAGCUUGGGAGAUGAUUUAGAUUCAGUGGACAGGCCCUUUCUGAGAAAAAAACUGCCUUUAAAUCUCCUUUACUUUUAUCUUUAUACUUCUGUUGUAUUUUGAUUUAGUUACUAGUUCCAGAAAGUGUUUUAUAAGAAUUUAUUUUCUUUUCUCAGUGUCUGUAUCUGGUUAUCACAACAUAUAAUCUCUGGAUAGCAAAAGCAUAAUAGUGUUUUGAGCAGUUACAUUAAGGACUUGAUGCUAGUUAUCUAGUCCCAUCAAAUAUGAAUUUCAGCUAAACACAAGUUGUUGGAAUAAAAGAAGAUUCUUUUGUAAUUUCUGUUUUCUGAAUAUUGUGUUCAUAGUAUUAUAAAAGCCUGUAUUCUCCUCAGCUAUUUGUCUGUACUAUUAUGAAGCCUGGCUGUUCAAAGCACAGUUGGACAAUAACACAGUCUUCUCUAAAUCACUCAGGUACAUACCACAUUGCUUUAGUAAAUGUUUUAUUGUCAGAAAUGUUGGAAAGGAUCACUUGAAAAGUUCUGCUUUUUGGCCAAAACUGAUAAAAGUGUUCAGACUGAAUAUUGAAAAGGAAGAUUACACUGAAUUAUGUACAAUUUAGGAAGGGAAAAUUAGAUAUAGGUAGAAAUUUGGAUUAGAUUCUGAGUGUAGCAUAAUUUCCAAGAUAAACACAGUAGUCAGAUAUUGUGACAAUGCUGUCUAAUCGCAAGGACACCUGCACAUUUUACACAAACUACUUCAGAGCUAGAGCUUCUCUUCAGGGGCAUCAUCUCUACUACUUCUCUUGGGGGAAAUCUUCUAGUUCUGCGGUUGGGACACUGUGCUGUGGGGUGUGAAAAUGGGUCGGUGUCCUCUUUGGAAAUGGCAGGAAAUGAACACAGGUUUUACACUUUCUGGCCAGAAGAUUGCUGCUGCUGCUGUCACCUGAGAAAAGGGAUUGGUCCCUCCCUACUGCUUUUAGAAAGCGGUUUGGAGAAAACGCAGGGUAGUUGGUGAAGGUCUCCUGACAACAUGGAUCCGCAUGCCACAGGGCAGGAAAUGGGCAGGACUUCAGUUCUUCCUCCUGGUACCUACCCAAACUCUCUUAGGUUGCUGACUGCUGUGAAAGCUGUUC